UAAUACAGAGGGUGCGAGCGUUAAUCGGAAUUACUGGGCGUAAAGCGCACGUAGGCGGCUUGGUAUGUCGGGUGUGAAAUCCCCGGGCUCAACCUGGGAACUGCAUCCGAAACUGCCUUGCUCGAGUAUGGGAGAGGGAAGUGGAAUUUCCGGUGUAGCGGUGAAAUGCGUAGAUAUCGGAAGGAACAUCAGUGGCGAAGGCGACUUCCUGGACCAAUACUGACGCUCAGGUGCGAAAGCGUGGGGAGCAAACAGGA
rnacentral:rRNA from 1 species